rnacentral:rRNA from 1 species
UACGUAGGCGGGAAAUUAAGUCAGUAGUGAAAUCCCACAGCUUAACUGUGGAACUGUUAUUGAUACUAGUUUUCUUGAAUAUAGUUGAGGUAGGCGGAAUGUGUAAUGUAGCGGUGAAAUGCUUAGAUAUUACACAGAACACCGAUUGCGAAGGCAGCUUACUAAGCUAUGAUUGACGCUGAGGUACGAAAGCGUGGGGAGCGAACAGGAUUAGAUACCCUGGUAGUC